CAGUCGCCACGGGAAUACGUAGGGUGCGAGCGUUAAUCGGAAUUACUGGGCGUAAAGCGUGCGCAGGCGGUGAUGUAAGACAGUUGUGAAAUCCCCGGGCUCAACCUGGGAACUGCAUCUGUGACUGCAUCGCUGGAGUGCGGCAGAGGGGGAUGGAAUUCCGCGUGUAGCAGUGAAAUGCGUAGAUAAGCGGAGGAACACCGAUGGCGAAGGCAAUUCCCUGGACCUGUACUGACGCUCAUGCACGAAAGCGUGGGGAGCAAACAGGAUUAGAUACCCCUGUAGUCUCUGUCUCUUAUAC
rnacentral:rRNA from 1 species